rnacentral:sRNA from 1 species
UUCUGCCCAAGCGGGGAAGGAUGAGAAGCUUCGACCAAGGUUCGACUUGAGCGCCAGCGAGAGAGCGUUGCCGCAGGCAACGAUCCGAAGGGCGAAGCGCGCAGCGCUGAGUAAUCCUUCCCCCACCACCA